UUAGUAACAAAACUGUUUGGUCAAUAUCACUUUUUAUCUUAUUUUUUUGAGAAAAUGUCAAGAUCAAAUGUUGACAAUAAGGAAUUAUUAGAAGAAUUACAAUCUGCCAUAGAUAACGACAAAAUGUAUUGGAUAAGAAAUGAGGCAAAACUAAAAGCGGCAGUCUCAGCCAAAAACUACGAUGACUUUCGGGCAUCAGUAGCAGCAGCACACCUAAAUCCACUAAACAAAAAAGACUGGAAAAGAAAGGUAGAUACUUGGAAUACAUUUGCAACUUCCAAAUCUCAAGAAUAAUGCAUCAAUUACUAAUCUAUUUAUUUUAAAAAAAGUAUAACAAUAAAAUGUAUUCCUCCAG